UACGGAAGGGGCAAGCGUUGUUCGGAAUCAUUGGGCGUAAAGGGCGCGUAGGUGGUUCUGUAUGUCUACCGUGAAAGCAUACAGCUCAACUGUAUUUUGUCGGUAGAAACUGCAGGACUUGAGGCUGGGAGUGGCUGGUGGAAUUCCCUGUGUAGCGGUGAAAUGCGUAGAGAUGGGGGAGAACACUCGUGGCGAAGGCGGCCAGCUAGACCAGUUCUGACACUGAGGCGCGACAGCGUGGGGAGCAAACAGG
rnacentral:rRNA from 1 species